UGGUGACCUUAUAAGAGGAAGAAAGAGAGAGGGCUCUCUCUCCAUGUGGUUGGACCAAAGAAAGACCAUCUGCAAGCCUGGAAUGCUACCAGACCUUGAUUUUGGAGUUUCUAACCUCCAGAGCUAUGAGAAAAUAAAUUUCUGUUGUUGGAGCCACCCAAUCUAUGGUAUUUGUAGAGGCAGCCUGAGCUGACUAAUACAGCUGGGUACCCAACCCUGGAACCAAGAGGUGGAGUCAGCCCUGUUCAAAUUGUGGGAACUGUGGGAAGGGGUGUCUCUCCCCCAAGGAAAGUCAUGUUGCUGCGGCUGGAAAAAGAUGGAUGAGAUGUUUUGACAUGCAGAGAUGACAGCUGGCCACCUCUUUUGGAUAACUCUCUUAACCUAUCUUUGCUUCUAUCUCCCGAUCUAUAAAAUGGAGUGCUACCAA
rnacentral:lncRNA from 1 species